UACGUAGGGUGCGAGCGUUGUCCGGAAUUAUUGGGCGUAAAGAGCUCGUAGGCGGUCUGUCGCGUCUGCUGUGAAAACCCGAGGCUCAACCUCGGGCCUGCAGUGGGUACGGGCAGACUAGAGUGCGGUAGGGGAGAAUGGAAUUCCUGGUGUAGCGGUGGAAUGCGCAGAUAUCAGGAGGAACACCGAUGGCGAAGGCAGUUCUCUGGGCCGGAACUGACGCUGAGGAGCGAAAGCGUGGGGAGCGAACAGG
rnacentral:rRNA from 1 species